rnacentral:lncRNA from 1 species
CUCGAAUCGACAUCACAGCUGGGCAUGGGCUCCGAGCAGCUGCGGCUCAGGAGAGCCUCAGGGCACCUGGAGGCUUUGGGGUUCUUGCUGGAGCUGCUGUGCCUGUUCUGUGAGUGGUAAAACUGUUCUGGCCUCUGCAGCUGGAGAUGAGCCACCACCUCUGCAGCCUGCACAGAAAACACCUGAGCAGCCCUGGUGUGUAGAGGAGCCCCAGAGCCCGUCCCAUGUCACCUCCCUAACCACGAGUGUCACCCCUGGCAGAAUUCAGAGCUGAAGAUGCUGAGCAGGAGGAGAAACCCCUGAGCCUGCGGCACGGCAGCGUGUGUGCCAGCCCUGCAGCACGGCAGCGUGUGUGCCAGCCCUGCAGCAUGGCCAGGUAAGGCACGGGGAGGUGACAACGGCAUGGGGAGGUGACAGCAGCAUGGCCAGGUAAGGCAUGGGGAGGUGACAAUGGCAUGGGCAGGUGACAAUGGCAUGGCCAGGUAAGGCAUGGGGAGGUGACAACAGCAUGGCCAGGUAAGGCAUGGGGAGGUGACAAUGGCAUGGGGAGGUGACAGCGUGGGGAGGUGACAGCAUGGCCAGGUAAGGCACAGCAGGUGACAGCAGCAUGGGGAGGUGACAAUGUGGGGAGGUGACAACAGCAUGGGGAAUUGACAGUGACCUGGGGAGGUGACAGACAGCAUGGCCAGGUGACAACAGCAUGGGGAUGUGACAGUGGCACGGGAAGUGACAGUGGCACAGGAGGUGACAAUGGCAUGGCCAGGUGACAGCAUGGGCAGGUGACAACAGCAUAGGAAGGUGACAAACACCCUGGCCAAGUGACAUCAUGGGGAGGUGACAUCAUGAGGAGGUGACAGCAUGGGCAGGUGACAGCAUGGCCAGGUGACAAAUGGCACAGGGAGGUGACAAACACCAUGACCAGGUGACAGCAUGGGGAGGUGACAGCAGCAUGGGCAGGUGACAAUGGCAUGGGGAGAUGACACCAUGGGGAGUGACAAAUGGCACAGGGAGGUGACAAACAGUACAGCCAGGUGACAAACAGCACAGCCAGGUGACAGCAGCAUGGCCAGGUGACAGCAUGAGGAGGUGA